AACGAACGCUGGCGGCAUGCCUAACACAUGCAAGUCGAACGAGAUCUUCGGGUCUAGGGGCGCACGGGUUCGUAACGCGUGGGAAUCUGCCCUGUGGUUCGGAAUAACAGUUGGAAACGACUGCUAAUACCGGAUGAUGACGAAAGUCCAAAGAUUUAUCGCCAGAGGAUGAGCCCGCGUAGGAUUAGCUAGUUGGUGUGGUAAAGGCGCACCAAGGCGACGAUCCUUAGCUGGUCUGAGAGGAUGAUCAGCCACACUGGGACUGAGACACGGCCCAGACUCCUACGGGAGGCAGCAGUGGGGAAUAUUGGACAAUGGGCGAAAGCCUGAUCCAGCAAUGCCGCGUGAGUGAUGAAGGCCUUAGGGUUGUAAAGCUCUUUUACCCGGGAUGAUAAUGACAGUACCGGGAGAAUAAGCUCCGGCUAACUCCGUGCCAGCAGCCGCAGUAA
rnacentral:rRNA from 1 species